rnacentral:misc_RNA from 1 species
GUGAAUCAUCGAAUCUUUGAACGCAAAUUGCACUCUCCGGUUUUCCGGGAGAGUAUGCCUGUUUGAGGGUCAGCCUAACAAAAAUCGACAUAGUUGCUGUUUCGCGUUGUCUUUCGUCGGAAAUUGGGUCAUCUUAAACCUUUUGGUUUUAAGCGGCUUAAAAUUUUCUUUACGAUUCCACGAAUGUUUCUAAGUUUUACUUACACGUUUAAGGUAUCGUUCUUUAUUAGACGUGGCCGUUGCAUCGGAUCGCGUCCAUAAAUAUUUCCUUAACUGAACUCAUUCAGGUAAGGAUACCCG